UUUGGUAUUUUCUCUACCUAACACUAUUUACACAUGCAAAUUAGUAAUGAUUUGUGUGAAGCUGUAAAUACAAUGUAGCCUCUCUUAAAUGGGAAUGUUAAUAUAGACAUAAUUUAUAUAUUACCAGGAGCUAGUGUAAGUAA
rfam:Ophiocordyceps sinensis CO18 unplaced genomic scaffold OCS_Scf_2699, whole genome shotgun sequence.